AACUAACUGAAAGGAGGUGAUCCAGUGUCUCAUUGUCUUUCGCCGCGAAACCGGCACGCUGGGUUGCACCCUCUCGCGAGGAUCGCGCUCGCGUGACGGGCUAGCUAACGCUGGCCCUCCGGGCCGCGGUUUCGACAAUGGAAAGGCCGCUCUUCGGGGCGGCCUU
rnacentral:sRNA from 1 species